GAUGAACGCUGGCGGCGUGCUUAACACAUGCAAGUCGAACGGAAAGGCUCCUGCUUGCAGGGGUACUCGAGUGGCGAACGGGUGAGUAACACGUGGGUGAUCUGCCCUGCACUUCGGGAUAAGCCUGGGAAACUGGGUCUAAUACCGGAUAGGACGAUGGUUUGGAUGCCAUUGUGGAAAGUUUUUUCGGUGUGGGAUGAGCUCGCGGCCUAUCAGCUUGUUGGUGGGGUAAGGGCCUACCAAGGCGUCGACGGGUAGCCGGCCUGAGAGGGUGUACGGCCACAUUGGGACUGAGAUACGGCCCAGACUCCUACGGGAGGCAGCAGGGGGGAAUAUUGCACAAUGGGCGCAAGCCUGAUGCAGCGACGCCGCGUGGGGAUGACGGCCUUCGGGUUGUAAACUCCUUUCGCUAGGGACGAAGCGCAAGUGACGGUACCUGGAGAAGAAGCACCGGCUAACUACGUG
rnacentral:rRNA from 1 species